GGUGAACGCUGGCGGCGUGCUUAAGACAUGCAAGUCGAACGCAGUCUUCGGACUGAGUGGCGCACGGGUGAGUAACACGUAACUGACCUACCCCCAAGUCGCGAAUAACCAGCCGAAAGGAAGGCUAAUACGUGAUGUGAUGAUCCGCUGUGGCGGAUCAUUAAAGACUUGAUCGCUUGGGGAUGGGGUUGCGUUCCAUCAGCUAGUUGGUAAGGUAAAGGCUUACCAAGGCAACGACGGAUAGCCGGCCUGAGGGUGGCCGGCCACAGGGGCACUGAGACACGGGUCCCACUCCUACGGGAGGCAGCAGUUAGGAAUCUUCCACAAUGGGCGCAAGCCUGAUGGAGCGACGCCGCGUGAGGGAUGAAGGUUCUCGGAUCGUAAACCUCUGAACCAACGACGAAAGACCCGACAAGGGAGAUGACGGUAGUUGGGUAAUAGCACCGGCUAACUCCGUGCCAGCCGCCGCCGUAAUAC
rnacentral:rRNA from 1 species